rnacentral:lncRNA from 1 species
CCAGAAAAGGGCGGAUUCCUAUCAGCUCAGCCAAAUGCCCCCAUUAGACAGCGGAGGUUAUUUACGGUGCGGCAGGCGAAGGCAAUGGCACCCCACUCCAGUAUUCUUGCCUGGAAAUAUCCCAAGGGCGGAGGAGCCUGGUAGGCUGCAGUCCCUGGGGUCGCGAAGAGUCGGACACGACUGAGCGACUUCACUUUCACUUUUCACUCUCAUGCAUUGGAGAAGGAAAUGGCAACCCACUCCAGUGUUCUUGCCUGAAGAAUCCCAGGGACGGGGGAGCCUGAUGGGCUGCCGUCUAUGUGGUCUCACAGAGUCGGACACGACUGAAGCGACUUAGCAGCAGCAGCAGGCAUCCUCCUCCGGGGGGCACCUGCAGCCCUAGCGAGGCCGAAGCUGAAGGACACAGGCGGGCAGCUGCUGAAACUCAGUAGUUCCUGGAUCUUCACUAUUUGGCCCCAGGAUGGUUUCUCCCCGCCCUCAUCAGGUGCAACUGGUCUCUGCACUAUCUGCAGCCCUGCAACUACCCUGACCUGCAUGAUUCCACACCGAUUCCAGAGAACUACCAGGCUGCAGAGGCUGAAGGCACAGGCAUGGGACUUACCACGGUCAGUCUCCAGGUUGGUGCACAUCAACAGCUAGUAUUAAGUAUGCCCUUACAGGAUGCCAUCAACACUUUGAUUUGAGGUGUUGCAUCCUUACAUUUUUAAAAAAUUAAUGACAUUACUUUUCAGGACAGCUUUAGGUUUACAGGUAAAUUGAGCACAUAGUAGAGAGUUUUCACACAUACUCUGUUGUUCCUAACCCAAUUUCUUGCAUUAGUGUCAUGGCGGGG